rnacentral:snoRNA from 1 species
GCAAGAAGAGCAAUGCUGGAAGUAUCACAAUACCUGACUUCAUCAGUGUCCCAUGCCAGAGCAAACUGUACCUUAGAACCACUGUCUGGCCUCUGCCUGUAGACUACUCGCACUGAAGUGGGUUAAGGAGAC